CCUACGGGUGGCAGCAGUCGAGAAUCAUUCACAAUGGGGGAAACCCUGAUGCUGCGACGCCGCGUGGAGGAAUGAAGGUCUUCGGAUUGUAAACCCCUGUCAUGUGGGAGCAAAUUAAAAAGAUAGUACCACAAGAGGAAGAGACGGCUAACUCUGUGCCAGCAGCCGCGGUAAUACAGAGGGCUCAAGCUUUGUUCGGAAUCACUGGGCGUAAAGCGUGCGUAGGCGGUUUCGCAAGUCGUGUGUGAAAGGCGCGGGCUCAACCCGCGGACGGCACAUGAUACUGGGAGACUAGAGGAAUGGAGGGGGAACCGGAAUUCUCGGUGUAGCAGUGAAAUGCGUAGAUAUCGAGAGGAACACUCGUGGCGAAGGCGGGUUCCUGGACAUUAACUGACGCUGAGGCACGAAGGCCAGGGGAGCGAAAGGGAUUAGAUACCCGUGUAGUC
rnacentral:rRNA from 1 species